AUGGACGGGACACUCAUUUCUGUUGGGGGGACCCCCACAGUGGAAAUGCCCACUGUCUCGCUGGCAGCUGGAGACACGGGCCUGGUGCCCCUGUGCCCCCCCUCUGCAACCCCAGCUUGCGGGACGCAGACGCGGGGCUGGACGCCUGCCUCUGGGCCUCACGGUGUCUCAAAUCUCACAGGCCAAAAUAGUUCUAAGUUUAUAACCUGCUCCCUUCCCUGUCCCAGGCUCUGGGACGCAGCCUCCCAGCAGAUGGGAGAAGACUGCACAGCGGGGGCAGGGUGGGGGGUGUCGGGCAGCCACGCCAGCGCCCCGUGCCUCAGCCUCCUCACCUGUAAUGCCUUCUACCUCGCAGGGUGGUCGUGGAGUGCUUACAGCCACAGCACAGGGCAGCCGGACAGUCAGUUCCCAUGGUCGCUGUGCUUGUCCCCACCGGCACUGCCCUUCCAGGUCAGCGUCACAUGCGUCCCACCAGGGGCCGGGGCCCCCGUAUUGGUCGAGGACCUCCUGAGGGCUCCGGGCUGGGUUCUGAGGACAGCCCAGCCAGCCAGAGCCCGGCCUGUGGCGGUGGGGUGGACGGCACGGUCCUGCGGGCCUGGUGCAAUGCGGUGGGUGUUGGGCUUGGACCAGGUCACAGUGGACAGAGGGGCACAGAAGGCAGGUGUAAGAAGCAACCCCAUACGGCGGCAAGCCCAGCUCCCUGGAUCCCUGCUCUCAGUGACCCCAGAGCCCACGGGUGCCCAGGCAGGGCUCUAACGUCAUCAGCCACUGAGGGGAGGGAGGACCGAUCCUGUGCUCCUCCCGGCCGUGGCCUAGGAUGCCUGCUGACCCAGGACAAAGGUCUUACACAAGCACUUUAACAACCGAUUCCAAGCCUCUCCCACUGAGUCAGGUCAAGGGCGGCUAGGGCUGGAGGACUCUGUCUACCCUUUCUUCCAGCCGGCAUCCGCAGGUAGAGGCCUGCGCUGGCCCUCCAGGCAGCCUUGUGGGGAGCUUGGUCUUCCUGAGACCAACCCUUCCUGGGGGGUGUCCCGCAGGACCUGUGGGAGCUCAGAGUUGGAGUCUGGCUUGCUGCCCGCCUCCCCCAGGGAAGGGCUCAUACCGGAUCGGGCCUCAGGAGGAGGCACCCAGGUGUCCUGUGGGGACUGAGCCCUUGACCGGACACUCUGUGGGGUGCAGCUCCUUUCCCGCCCAGGAUGAGAAACUCAUCUUCCCCGACCUUCUGGGAGGUCCAACCAGGUCUGCCCGAGGUCACCUGCUGAGGCUCCCCCAGGCUCUCCCACGAUAUCCUAAUCCCUUGGGUUCUGGAAGCACUGGGUGAAGCUCUCAAGGCGGGAUCUCCAGCACAGUCUCCCUUGACGAGGCCACGCUUGGGGGCCAAGAGCCUCUGCAUUCCAGGGACGAUGCCACCACACAGGCAUUUGCCACAAUCCUGCCCACUUAGGUCCAGACAGCCUGAAGGUGCUCCUGGGCCCCUCCCCGGACCCUCGGGCUGGGGACACUGGGCAGCUAAGGCCUCAGGCAGGCCCUGUGUGACCUGGGGCACCAUGUGGCAUGCAGUCUGGCCUCAGUGGGAGGAGGACCGGCGUUUCCUGGGCCACCCUGAUCCAGCAUGGUCUGUGCUGGGCAGACUCUUAUCUCUGAAACCAGGCCAGGGGUGGGGUUCACCUAGGCUUAUACCCUUUAAAUAAUGCCAAUUCUUGGGCCUUUGAAGGUCCCAAUACCCCACUAGGUUGGGGACACUUGCAGACCACUCCUCGGAUCAGAGAGGAAGCUCUCCAGCCCCGGUGGGCCUCUCUCUCUCCUCAAGCACAGUUGGAGGGUAGAGGGUUCCCUGGAGACCCGCAGGCUGAUGGGCUCAGGCUUUGGGGCCCAGGCCAGUUCAGCCAGCACUCACUGAGCGGGGCCUGCAGGCCAGAGCGGAGGGAGGCCAGCCGGAAGCCGCUGUGGGCAGUGCUUAUUGGGAUGGGGGUUGCAGAGGAAAUCCUGGGGUGCGUGUCCAGAGGGAGCCUGGUCAUCUGCAUUGCAUCCCAGAGUCGGCCUCUCCCAGCAUCUCUCCGACUCCUCUCCUUCCUCCCAGGAUCCUCCCCGCACCCCCCCACCCCGACCUCCGCCCUCCAUCCUCCGCCCUCCACCCUCCCCCGCUGAUUCGGGUGCUCACACUCUCAGGCACCUGCUGUGGCUCACUCCCCUCCACUAAGGGCCAGGCCAGGGCUGAAGAUCAGGCUGUUCUGGUCCCACCCAGCUCCCUUCUCUCCCUGCCAAAAAUAGCCCUGGGGUCAGCUCUCAUGCUCCACCAAAUAUAGCCAUCUGGCCUGCCUGCCCUGCCCCCAAGUGCCUGCCAGCCUCAGGCAGGGUGCAGAGGGGGGAAGGUCAGGGAUUGGGCAGAGCAAGAAGGGAAGAGCCUCUUGCCAGGCUCCUGGGGCUGGGGGCCUCAGGGGCUCUUUAGGAUGAGCCACCCCCACCCCUCACCCAGGCCUUCCUGGCACUCCCACCUGGAUGGCUGACAGGGACGAAGCGUGGCCCUCUAUGCCACGCCUACCCUGGGCAGCUCCUGGUCUGUCAGAAUCACAGGGACAGACCUCCUGGGGCCCCAGAAAGCCCUUCUUCCCAAGACUGCCCCCCACCCACCCUGGGUCCCUGCUUUCCCCAGCGCCUCCACACACUUACUAGGCAGACUAGGCAGACUGGGGCAGACCCCCAGAGCUGCCAGGAGGGUGGGCCAAGUCUCCCUUCCCAUCAGUGUUCCUCAGCCAACUGAGGACCCCAACUAAGCGGCACACUUCUCCAGAUGCCCUCAUCCUCAUGUAGAGGAGGGGCGAGCUCUCCCACCAAGACCAGACACUUUUGGAAGGUCCCACGUCAACCUUUGGAAAAUGGAAGGUGGUGGUCUGGGAGCGAGGCCCAGGAUGGUGGUGGACACUCGAGUCCCUCCAGUAGGCAGUUCUGGAUGGUGGCUGGAGCGGUUGCGGGGGGUGGUCUCUGGGAGCACAGAAGGUGGGGGCAGGGUGAAAGGGUGAAAGGGUAGGGCUGGGCUUCUCAGAACUUGUCCUUGCGUGGGUCCUGGUGGGGGCAGGGCUUCAGAGCAGACCCCAGAGGGUAGCCAGGAGUAUGGGGGCCAGGGCCAGGGUUCCGGGGAUGGCGAGGCCAGCGCCGUUACAGAGGUCGUACUGGCAGCAGGAGGUGGUAGAGGCGUGCUUGGAGUAACCAUCGUACACGGUCUCGAAGCAGCUGGGCACGCAGGACUUGCUCACCUUCAUCCUGGUCGGGGUGUAGUCUGCACAGCGGGGGUGGGCCAGGACUCAGGUUGGCCAACCCUGGCACACAGGCCUUUAGGGCAGCCAAGUGCUCCCAGGUGCUCCCCCAAGAGACUCCUAGGGCAAGCGGGGGCCUCCCUGCUCAGUCUCCCACCCUCCAGGGCUGGGGAAGAGCAGCCCCUCAUGCUCCCAGGGACCGCUGGGGCACCGGCCGACUCACAAGUGCGCGUGGUCAUGCAGUAGGUGACCAUGGCCGGGCAGUGGACGGGGUUGAAGCAGUUCUCUCCGUUGUAGGCGCACACGUGGCAGUCCAGAGCCUGGGCUGGGGGCCAGGGGACGGGGUGGGAGCUGGAUGGGGGUCCCAGAACCGGGAGGGGCCCCUCCUCCAGCCCAUCAGACCAUAGGUCCCAUCACCUUCCCCAGAGCAGAAGAGCUGGAGGGACAGGGGAUUAGGAGAUCUGGCUUCUCUCCCCUCCUACCCCCCAACAUGGGGCCGCCUGUUCUCUGUUCUCCAUCCGCCUUACCCAGCGGGAGGCCCACCAGGGCCACCAGGAACAGGGUUAGCAGGGGCCCCAUGGCUGGAGCUGAGAGUGGGCGUGGUGAGGUGAAGAGCCGUUGGUCCUGGAUUCAACUCCGGCUGGGGCAGGGCCCAGGGGCGGGGGCGGGGUGUCUGACAACCCCCUCCCCUCCCAGAGCUCCUGCUGUACUGGAGGCACUGCAGCCCUGCACAGAGGUGGACAAAAGGCAGCUGGUCACCACAGAGACUGAGGGACCCAAGGGGACCUGGGCAGGGGAGCUGGUGGGCAGGAGAGCCUCCCAACUCAGCCUGGGUGUCCAGUUUCCUGAAGGAGGGGACACAAAAAGAGAAGGGAGCAGGGUGGGGGACAUUCCAAGACGAGAGACUGGUAUCUACAAGCCCAGGAGGCCUGUGGUGCAGACUGAAGGGGGGGGGGCUCAUGCAGGGGCCUGUGGGAGCCUGACACACUGCACCCCCACCUGGGGCCCUGAGUGAGGGACUGGCCCUGGGGCUAGGUCUCUCUCACUGCUUCCCCUUCCCUUGGCUCCCGGGGUAUCCCUGAGUGGGUCCCCCACUUCGGCUACUUUCGGGGUCCGGGGGCGCCGCUCGCUCUCCCAGGAAGCCGCCCGGGGCGCAGCCUUCCUAGGGCCGCAGCCGCAGCUCUGGGCAGGCGGCGGGGGAAGUGCGCUCUGAGCGCAUUCCGGGGGCACUUGGGCACGGCCCCCGCACAGCUCCCCGGCUCGGCCUCGGUGAGGGGGUCGGGACCGAGCCCAAUGUCCGGCCGGAGGCUGGGGGAAUCUGGACCACCACUGCCCUCGGGCCCGCGGGGAUGCUCGGGGGCGGCGGGGGUGGGGCCGCAGCGUCCCCACCAGGGGAACUAAUUAGACUCGCCCUUCCCCGGAACAUCAAGCCGCCUCAUCCCCCCCACCCCCACUCAACUUCAGGAUCUAACAGGCCUGAGUGAGGCCAGGCCUGCGGCUCCGGCGCCUCCCGCCCCCUCCCGCACAGCCCCACCCCAAAGACUGCGGUCCCAGCACAGGGGGAAGGUUUCGGGGUGACCUUAACUGUGACCUUCAGCACGCUGAACCUCCGCUGCUCCCGGGACUCACCGCGGCCGCUCGCCGACCCCUGGGUCUGACGGCGCGAUCGUCCGGGGGCCCCGCGGAGACCACGCCGCGAUAACCCUCUGCGGCCUCCGCGGCCAGGAGCCCGCAGCCCUGCGGGAGCCGCUGCGGAGGCCCCGCCCCGGCCCGCCCCGGCCCGCCCCGGCCCGCCCCCGCCCGGCUUUGGACCCGCCCCCGCCCCGCCCCAAGCCCGCCCCUGGGCGCAGCCCCACCCCCGCCGCU
rnacentral:lncRNA from 1 species